GGCAGUUUCCUGAUCUUCUGGAUAUGCUGCCACGCUGUCCCAGGGCUGGUGGUGUCCCCUGACUUGUUCCUCUCCUGACUUUCUCAGCCUGGAGACUGAAAGCUCUCUUUGGCUGUUGGCCCUCCCAGGCAGAGUCCACUGGCUGUUAGGGUGAAAUGGGGCUGAUGCUUCCUGGAAUCCACCAGAAGUAUGCAAAUUGCACCAUCUCUUUCAGCUGCCUGCGCCUGCAUUCCAUCGAGGAUUCCGGGUGGAACUAAUCAAAAGAUACAUCUUUCUAAGAAGAGGAGAGGACACAGAGAGACACACAGAGAAGGUGAUGACAAUGAUGAGAAGACGGAGGCGGAGAUUGGAGUGAUGAUGCAUCUACAAGCCAGGGAACAUCAAGGACUGCCAGCAACCACCAGAAGCCAGGAGAGAGGCAUGAGACAGUUCUUCCUCCUAUCCUUCAGAAGAAAUCAACUCUACUGACACCAUGAUUUUGGAUUUUGGCCUCCUAAAAUGAGGCUGAGUGACUUGGGCAAUGAUUCAGCAAUACCAACUGUGAACUCUCAAUGACUUGGGCUAAUGAGAAGAAUGACAUGGAUAAUCUAAAAAUAAUGGACAACUGGAAAAAACAUCAGCCUGCUUGUGGAGCACACCAGGUCAUGAUUUCUGCAGUGGGGGAGGAGCUGAUUUGCUUCAUUCAUUCUAGAACCUCUAUUCUAGCUGAUGUUAAAUCUGGUUGUUUUUGAGAGCACUCAUAGCCAUCAUGCCCAUCUCUGUAUCACAGGGGUUUGGGAAAAGAAACUCUUCUGGCCAAGGAUGGAAGAAUAAAAACAUAACUGAGUUCCAGAUAUGCUAAUGUUUUCCACUAUUGCAUCUCUAAGAUAUCAGUAGGACCUGGAAAGGUGGCAAUGACCUCAUGGCUCCCAGGUGCUGGGGUUGCUGCAAUGGCUGGAGCUGAGAAAAACUUGAAGGUUUUAGAGAAGCUCUGCUUCCAAAUGAAGGGUGCAGAGUAAUUAAUGCCCCAAGCUACAUGGAGUGGCCAAUUGAAGAAGCUAUAAAAGUUGGAGCAGUGCAGGAAGCAACAUGCCUGGGAAAGGGGAUUUUUUUGCACUUUUUAUUGCAAUAAUGCAGGAACAUUCUAUGAAUAGAAUCCAGGGGAGCCAUCAAGUCCAUGUUCGGGUGACUGUAAGGGGAGGGAUUUUGAUCCUCUUCCGAGACAGCUGUCUUCAGGCUCAGGCACAGAUCACAUUAUUUUAUUAGAGCCUUCAGUAGUUAAGAGAAAGUUCUUGGUUGAAUUGGGAAAGGGACCUAAAAAUAACUGUAAAAUUUUGAGCUAGCUCUGCCCCUUUCUGUACUAGAUACAAUCCUGGAUGUAGAGAAUCAGAGACUUGAGGUUAAGACCUAGCUCUGGCACCAACUUGGACAAGUCACAUCACCUAUCUCCACCUAUCUCCUUCACUGUGAAAUGAGAGGAUUGGAAUAAAUGAUAUCUAAAUCUCCCCUGGCCUCCAUUGUUUCUGCUUUGUGGAUGCCGUUUUAUGGAUUGAGAAAUCAAAGUCUAUUGAUGAAAAUGAUUGCAAUGUGCAGAUUCACUUGGAACACAGAAAGACUCAGAGAGCUGGUCAGUACCAAAGGAGGUUGGAGUGCUUUGCCUUGAAUGCAAGAAAUAACGAUGUGCAAUGUCAUGGAGAAUUUUAAAACAAUAAUAGAUACAAGAAAAAGUCGGUCUGCUUUUUAUUAUCACCAUGCACUGACAGUUCUAAGCAAUGUCAGUGAUAAAAUAUUCCUCACCUUGAUGGACAACUCUCCCCAUCCUCCAUCCUUGGUAUACCACUGUUUAUCUGUACAAUUCUCUUUUUAUUCAAUGCUCUUUCAAUUCCUCUCACUACACAGGAAGAAAAUCUCUUUAAGGAGCUCUUUUUUUUUUUUUAACAUUUUUCUUUCUCUCUCUUUCUUUCUUUUUCUUUCUUUCUUUUUUUUUAACCACUUCUUAGCAUUGAUUUAUCCCUAGUAAAGAAGAAUGAUGAAUUACUUUGAGUUACUUCUUUAGUAAGAAAGGUAUGCUAUAGGAGAGAACUGGAAAGGGACCAAGGAAGCAGGGACAAUAAACAUGGAGAGACCAGAAUAUGGAAUGAGGUGUGGAAUGGGUACAGAAGGCUGGGUGGCUUGUGGGUCAAGUCCUGAACACAUGGCUUGUGGACAGGGUGUGGACAGCUCCCUGAAGGCCCAGGUUAGGUUGGGCAUGUGGUGCAUGAAAACAGACCCUGCCUGCCUCUCAGCUCAGAUUUCUCAGAUUUCCAGCACCCCGGCCCUUUCCUGGGGCUUCCCCUUGCCUCCCCUCAGGUGGAUUUCCUAAGAGUGAACCCUCUGUACUACACCUGCAGUCACACCACUCGCCAUCCUUCUCUGAGUUGGAUUUCCUCUCCACCCUGCCCUGGUGUCUAGAAUAUGAAAAGGCUUUGCCACCCUGGGGACUUGCAUAUCCUGCAUUGGUGCCUCCCUUUUGCAGGCCUGGCCCCCUUGGUGUUCAACCUUCUGCGAGCUAGCACCUGCUGCAGGGUGCAUUUGCGUGCUCCAAGGAGCCAUUCCUGUGACAAAAUAAUCUAUGCACAUUCUUUGGGGGCUGAAUGGGCUGCUCUGGAGAACAACAGAGGGGACCCCCAGAAAAAUAUGAGUGUGGUGGAGGAAGAGGCUGAAGGCAGGGUGUUAACCCUAAAGAUAGAGAUCUUUGUCCUCUCAAAUUAAAUAAGAAGUUUUGGGUUUUUGUUUGUUUGUUUGCAAAGUGAGAACCCAGUUAGUAGCAAUUAAAUUGACAACCCAAUUCAAACCAGUCCAAACUGAAGCCAUGAGGGCCAAGUUCUAGUUUCUUACAGAUUUACAAUUUGCUAAAUUUUCUCUUUGACACACACAUCAGACACAUAUUCCCUCUGGCACAUUCAGUUUCUAAUUGUUAUCCUAAGAUGAUUUAUUUAUUCUUACAGGAAGAGAAAAGAAAGGGGCAGCUUUUACCGAAGUUUGUCUUAUUUCUUUCACUCUUUCUUUUCUGAUUAUAAAAGCCACACAUGUUUACCAUAGAAAGCUUAGCACAUGAAUAUUCUAAACAGAGAUAAAUACUUCCUAUCAACCCCAUCAUUCAGAGAUGACCACUCUCCAUUUGCAGCUGUGGUUGACAUGGAAUCGUCUGGGGAGUUUUAUUGGCAAGAACUUGCUCUAUUCAGCUGAGCUUUUCCUUAAGAAGACCCCUGAGGUACCAGCCCUCUCUGAGCCUAGUGGAGGGGGACUUUCUGUUCAUGCUGAGGCCCCUUCCCAGCCUGACAGAAGCUUCUAGCUCUUCCUUAGUCAGUUCCCUGCAGGUCUGGGAACCUUGUGCUAGUUCUGUUCUCUGGCCUCUGUGCUGUCACCUGUGAAGCUGUGUCCUUUGAUUUCCUCUUGCAAUCCUCUUGUUGCUCACAGCUGGCAACCUUCAUAGUCAUUCACACUCACACACAGCAUUUCUUCAUUUAUUCACAUUAAGUCAUUUCACACUCAUUUUAAUAGUUAUUAUUCACAGUACUGUUAGUUUAUAGCACCGCACAACAUUAUAAUGUUGUAGUGAACAGUCGUCAUUUCUUUGUGCUGCUCAGCCAGCUACGCACCAUUCUGGGUUUGGGACCUCCCCACCCACCUGCCUGCUGGGUGUGCAGGCUGCUCUUCUUUCACGAUGGAAACCAAAGGGGGGAGUUCCUCUCUCCCAGCCCAAAGGCCAUGCAGGAGCCAGCCUGUGAUCUUGGUUCAGCCAAACAGGCAGUACCAUCUCACACUUUGACUCUUAAGAGAACUUUGCUAAGAAUCUGGAACAGGUCAGACUUUCCUUAUGGUGGCGGCAGAGCCUUUGAGAUUUGGCAGUCAGCCCUGUUGGUUUUGAGCACCCCUAGGCUGUGGUGGCCUAGGGCAGCACAGACACUGCCCUACCCAUAUGGGUCCUGAGGCCCUGGCUAGUCCCCACUGGCCAUCCUGGGUUUCCAUCGUGUUUCUGGGCCUUGUUCUCCAGCUUUCUGUUGAUUCUGUGAGUUAUCUGAUAUUCUUCAAAAAUAUUCCUUUUCAUUUAAUGCUAGCCAGAACUGCUUAAAGAACCCUAUACUGUUUGACUUUUGUCUUAAAGUUUGAAACGUUACUUAGUAAGUCACAACAUACUAAUUUGAAUUUCAUUUGUAACAUAACUUCUCUUUCCCUAGGCCACAUAAGUCAGGGAGAUGGAGAGAGAAACAGAGGGGACAAAAAUAUAGUCACAACAGUAUUUACCUGGCUUCAUUUCACCCUUAGCUGCAAUUGUCCGGAACUCAGGUCCUGCCUCCUAAGAUCCUCCACAAUAGCAUUUCUGCGCUUCUCACUGCCUUGUAGCCCUGUAGCCUUCUGCUUGUCUAUCUCAGAGACUGCUGGUAGUGCUGCUUUUGUAAGGGUUUUCUUCUUCCAUGGCCCAUUUGUCUGUGGGCUAUCUGGCUUGCUUGAGUCAUAUCCACUAAUCAACUAUUAAGGCUGAUUCUUCUCUUUGGAAGACCCAGAGAUUUCAGCUAUGAUUCUGGGCUACACUUUGAGCCUCAGAAAUGACCAUGUGUUUAGUGGUGACCUCACGGGCAAAUGCCGCAAUACUUUUCUGGUGCCUGUCUGCCUAAGUCUUUUCUUCUCUGUCACUCCAGUUCUGCUUGUCCCCAGGGAUAUGAUUUUCAAGUCUCAUGAUCUUAUGUCAAGUCACAUCCAAUAUGAUCUGACGGGUUGGGGAGCAGGGCAGGGUCGGAUGAUCUGGAAUGACUGCCUCCUGUGCUGGAAUAAGCGAUAAGCAGACAGGCCCCUCCGCAAGUGCUGGGAGGAACGCCAGUGCCGCAGGUAGAACACAGCAUGAAAGGGGUAUGUGGAGGACGACAGGCCCGGAGAAAUCCUGUCUCAGGCCAGAGUGGAAGGCCAGAAUGUGGACUUUUCCAAGCAAGCAGGUUUUGCAACAUCUCUAGGAACCUAGGAGCCAGCAGUGAACAGGAGUCUAGGUAGGCAGAUGGGAAGCAGCGUCCUAGACACUCAGCUAGGGUUUGGGACCAAGAAUGCAGAAAUGAAUAGCUCCGGGUUGGGGGUGGGAGGUGUGGCACAGAACUAGGACACAUCUGUAGAAAAGUAUUUUUCUCGAACCAUAUCUGUAUUUUAGGUAUUCCAAGUCUAAAUAUUCCAUGGUUAAAAAAGUUUGGAAAUUAUGGAAUUUUAAGUUCUUCUCUUGGAGAUUCAUGAUUCACAAGACUAUACAAGACGCUGAAUCCUAUGAUUACAAACAAAAAAACAAAACCAAACCUGUUUAGUAGGUAAACAGGGUUAUGUAGGCAGAAGACAUUUUCUUUUUUUAAAUUACUUUUUUCAAAUUCAUGAGCAUUUGAAGUGGCAGCCAGCUGAGUCACAAAAUUGCUUUUAAAAAAUUAUGAUUAUUUUGUAAUUAUAAAACUGCAUAUAUAAUACAUAUAAGUGGUUUCAAAAAUAUUAGAGAAACAAUACGUUAAGAAAUAGAUUAUUACCAGUCCCUAUGAAGUUCCCCUGUGUGUCCCUCCUCAUUCAAAUUUCUCUCCUCUCUCUAAAGGUAACUCCAACUUGAAUUUUACCACUUUUCUAUGUAUCCCCAAACAAUAUUGUUUAACUUCACCUUUUUCAAAUAUUAUACCAUUUGAAAUCAUUGUUUGCAACCUUCUGUGAAUUGCAUUUUUUCAUUAAAGAUAUUGAUAAAAUCAAUCUAUGUUGACAUGUUCUAUAAUUAUUUCAUCUUUAUGGCUGUUUAAUAUUCCAUUGUAUAAAUACAUUACAAGUUAGUUGUCUAUUUACCUAUCGAACAUUUGGGGUACUUUCAU
rnacentral:lncRNA from 1 species